UACGAAGGGGGCUAGCGUUGUUCGGAAUUACUGGGCGUAAAGGGCGCGUAGGCGGUGUGUCAAGUCAGGCGUGAAAGCCCCGGGCUUAACCUGGGAACUGCGUUUGAUACGGAUGGGCUAGAGUUCGGGAGAGGAGAGUGGAAUUCCCAGUGUAGAGGUGAAAUUCGUAGAUAUUGGGAAGAACACCGGUGGCGAAGGCGGCUCUCUGGACCGAUACUGACGCUGAGGCGCGAAAGCGUGGGGAGCAAACAGG
rnacentral:rRNA from 1 species